AUGACCAUGAAAAAUGUUCUCCUUUUGGCAGAGCGUUCUCAGCUCCAGAAGAGAAGCAGCUCCCCUUUCUCCAAGUUCAGGGCCGAGUCCCCACCUGGGAGGGCACACAGACCUGGAUUGCGACCGCGUCACGCAUUAGCUGUGUCGGGCCUCGGUUUCUUCUCUGUACACGGGACUAGCAGCCCAAGGACACCGUUGGGAAGAUUUAGUGAGAUAAUACAUGAAAAGGGCCUGGCACAUAUGGGGAGCCCACGGUUGGUGCCCUCCCCUUUUCCUUGUUCUGAACUGGAAAUGAACCCAUGUGAAAGAAGGGGGGCGCCGCACGACAAGGUCAGCUCCGGGGUGAUUGCUCGCAGAGGUCUCCAGCUCAGCCCUCUGAAGUGCCUGGUCCCUGCACCCACCAAAACGGUUCCCUCCAGCCCUGCUGUUGUUCCGUUUCUGUCCGCCAGGGGGAGACAAGGCGCAGGCUCCCUCCCGUCCGGCUUUCCUUGCGCGUUCACAGAGCCUCGAGAGCGCGCGGCCGUGCGCGGGACCCCGCGGCCGUGCGCGCCCGCGGGACUCCCAGGGGCGGGGCGCGCACGCGCAGACGGCUGCGCUUCCCGCGUGGCAGGACCGGGUAGGGUUGAGGCUGCAGGCUCCCUGCAGGAGAAACCCUCCCUGAUUUCGGAGACCUCCCGCAGAAGAAGGUCAACUCGGAUGAGCCUUCCCAACUUCUGGCGUUUGCCUUCUGCGCGGCAGCGGCCCCCACCUGCCCUGGUUUCAGGAGCACUGGCCGCAGAUGGCAGUCAGGUGAGCCCCAGUCAGCCUGAAUCCUUACCUUGCUUGUCUUAUUCCCCUGCUCCAGCCUGGCCCCUCCCAGUCCAGAAUCACACCUGCAGGUGUUCAUGGAGGGCCACAGUCUUACCCUCCCUGGGGCUGCCCUCCAGUCCGGGACUGCUGUGGACAGCUCACCCAGAGAAGAGUCCAGCCAAACAGUGUAUCAUACCUUUAAGGCCAGAGCCAGAGGCAUUUCCAGCUGAUGGAAGUAGCCUGGGGAGGAGCCUGACACCCAACCAGCCUUCAGCUUCAGAGCGGGAGGCCUGGAGUGUCCGGAGGUCACAAAUGUGAAUAUUCCCAUCGACAAGGCCUGACCAGCAGUGAAAGGAGCCCACAGCCAGACGUCAGGAGACCCGCGUCACAGCUCAUGCUUCCUUCCAUCUCACCUCCUGCCUUACACCCACCUCAGUCCACGGGACUCCCCAACCUGUCCUACCCUUUCCUCUGCCAGGAGUGGCUUCUGUCCUUCCCCAAGUGUCUCCUGGUUAAAAUAC
rnacentral:lncRNA from 1 species